CAUGUGCAGGUCUGGAUAGCCAAAAGAAAAGCUCUUCCCUUACUACAUGUCGGUCUAUAAUUUUGAUUGCAAGUGAUUCAAAAGAAAGCUUAUAUUUGGGAUCUUUGGAAGAUAUAGCUAUAUGGGUGAUAUUACCAACUUGAACCAGUAGUUUACAUAAGUGAGCAUAAUAUACCAGAAAACAGUUGCUUUCUUGCUUCAUAAUAAGCAACACCAAUAAAUGGAUGAGGCAAACAGUACUUGUGGGGAAAUAGAAGAGAUUAUAGACUAUAUUGAGCAGAGGUUUAAGCAGAUCAAGCAGUUUGACAUACUUGACUACUAUCCGUCUGAUCACCACUUCUUCAAAUAUGACAAAAAUUAUAAGAACAUGACAUCGGAAAGUGCCUUUUGCCAAAGGAUUGAAAAAGAGUGUCUUUUGUUGGAGAAGAACCCCUGGCCCUGAUCAAUGGAGUUGCAACUAGAUGAGAAAGGGGUACUUUGUUCUUUAAUUUAAGUGCAGAUUAUAGUUUUGGUUUACCAUUAAUUAAUUGUCUUAAUUGUAUAUUCCAAAGAAAUUAUAUUGUUCCUAAUUUUUCAAAUACUAUAGCCCAUCACUUCUUGUAGUAGACCCUGUUGGAGAGAAGGAAAUGAAUUCUUA